GUUCAGAGUACGUGAACCGUUCAGGGGUAAACCUGAGAAACCCAAAAGAUCGAAUGGGGAGAUUCAUCGUCAGCUCAUUUUGUAUAUGURCGAGUUAUGAUGCGGGUUACUYUCGAGUAUUGCUUGYACRUAYUUGUAYAUUUAUUCGCAAGAUGUUGUCGGCGUGCACUUCUCCCCUAGUAGGACGUCGCGACCCGUUGGGUGUCGGUCUACGAACCRAGUGGUAGCCUUUAAUGUUUUCGAAUAUUAAAGACCUUGGUGUUUUCYGACCGGCUGCCCGGCGGUACUCGUACGGUAYUUASCCGCAUUUAUUUGCGUCCAUGUCCGUCRCAAGCGAGGYCAAUUUCUGGCAGURCGGACCUAGUGCCGUCGCURGAGUUGRCCAGCUGUUGGUUGUACGGAAUUCUAGGACUGGCUAAMCAAAAUUACCGGUCUGCRAUGCUACUGCUUUGGGUACUUUCRGGACCCGUCUUGAAACACGGACCAGGGAGUCUAACRUGUACGCAAGUCWUUGGGAUUAUUUUAAAAUAAAACCAAA
rnacentral:rRNA from 1 species